rnacentral:rRNA from 1 species
GAUGAACGCUAGCGAUAGGCCUAACACAUGCAAGUCGAGGGGCAGCAUAGAGUAGCAAUACUUUGAUGGCGACCGGCGCACGGGUGAGUAACACGUAUGCAACCUACCUACAACAGGGGAAUAACCCGGAGAAAUUCGGACUAAUACCGCAUAAUACAGGGAUGCCGCGUGGCAAUAUUUGUUAAAGAUUUAUCGGAUGUAGAUGGGCAUGCGUUCCAUUAGCUAGUUGGUAAGGUAACGGCUUACCAAGGCAACGAUGGAUAGGGGAACUGAGAGGUUUGUCCCCCACACUGGGACUGAGACACGGACCAGACUCCUACGGGAGGCAGCAGUGAGGAAUAUUGGUCAAUGGACGAGAGUCUGAACCAGCCAAAUCGCGUGAAGGAAGACUGCCCUACGGGUUGUAAACUUCUUUUGUACAGGAAUAAAAGACAUUACGUGUAAUGUAUUGCAUGUACUGUACGAAUAAGCAUCGGCUAACUCCGUGCCAGCCGCCGCCGUAA